UGCAGCAGGCGCGAAACCUUUACACUGCACGACAGUGCGAUAAGGGAAUCCCAAGUGCGUAGGCAUAGAGCCUUCGCUUUUGUCCACCGUAGGGAGGUGGACGAAUAAGGGCUGGGCAAGACCGGUGCCAGCCGCCGCGGUAAUACCGGCAGCCCGAGUGAUGGCCGAUCUUAUUGGGCCUAAAGCGUCCGUAGCUGGCCGCACAAGUCCAUCGGAAAAUCCACCCGCUCAACGGGUGGGCGUCCGGUGGAAACUGUGUGGCUUGGGACCGGAAGGCGCGACGGGUACGUCCGGGGUAGGAGUGAAAUCCUGUAAUCCUGGACGGACCGCCGAUGGCGAAAGCACGUCGCGAGAACGGAUCCGACAGUGAGGGACGAAAGCUAGGGUCUCG
rnacentral:rRNA from 1 species